UUAAGUUAUCCAAAGGAAUUUCACCAUUUGGUUUUAUAAACAUAUGAAUUGAGGCAUAAACACCUUAAAAGUAACUCACCCCAAAUUAUGCAAGCUUUCAUUCCCAUUAUAGAACUGUGUAUAAAGAAGAGCUUACUCUUAGCAUGUACUGCAAAAAUGAAAUCAUACAGUACCGAUGCAGUUAUGUGUGACAGCUGCCUGACUCCAAAAAGCAGCUGAACAGAACUUAGCAUUAAGGAUUAUAUUUGAGACUUAGCACAAGUAUAAUUACAAUACUUUUUAAAAAGUAGUUUUGGUUACUUUAAGUACAUAUGACAUAGUCUAAUGAAAAGCUAAAACUUGAAAAAAACAGAGCCAGCUGGUUCAACCCUGCUACAGACCACAGAUGUCUCAGUCAUACAGCAGCUCAGUGACAAAGCUGUAAUCGCACCCACAUUUCUAACUCCUCACCUACCACUACUUCAGUUACUUAUACUACUAAACAUAACAGUAGACCAGUUAUGUGAUGGAUGGAAAACUUUCUAAAGCCAGAUAAAUAUGCAUUCACAGACUCUUUUUAGGAUAAAAAAAUGAUUAGUAUGAGUUUACUAUAAGAAACAAUAAUGCCUUUAAAAUUCCAAUGUAUUCAAGAUAUUCAAGAACUUACUAGUUAAAACUCUAUCUGAACCAGGAUUUAU